GACGAACGCUGGCGGCGUGCUUAACACAUGCAAGUCGUACGGUAAGGCCCUUUCGGGGGUUCACGAGUGGCGAACGGGUGAGUAACACGUGAGUAACCUGCCCACAACUUUGGGAUAACGCUAGGAAACUGGUGCUAAUACUGGAUAUGUGCUCCUGCUGCAUGGUGGGGGUUGGAAAGCUCCGGCGGUUGUGGAUGGACUCGCGGCCUAUCAGCUUGUUGGUGGGGUAGUGGCCUACCAAGGCGGCGACGGGUAGCCGGCCUGAGAGGGUGACCGGCCACAGUGGGACUGAGAUACGGCCCAGACGCCUACGGGAGGCAGCAGUGGGGAAUAUUGCACAAUGGGCGCAAGCCUGAUGCAGCAACGCCGCGUGCGGGAUGACGGCCUUCGGGUUGUAAACCGCUUUCAGCAGGGACGAAGCUUUUUGUGACGGUACCUGCAGAAGAAGCACCGGCUAACUACGUG
rnacentral:rRNA from 1 species